GAGCACUUACUAGGCACUGCUCCAGAAACUCCAAGCAUGUUAAUUCACUUCAUCCUUAUAUCAUCUCCUGCAUCACCCCCAGCACCAACAGAGAGAAAUGAGGCAAAGAGAAGUGCUACCACUUGAUUUAAAAAGCAGCUGAAUGUUCUCACAAUGGCUGUGUGUGGAUAGGAAAAAUACCUGUUUUCUUAUCAGAUCUCAAUUUGGGGAGAAUACCGUGACUUAAACUGGAUGCUCAAGCUCUUGUGAAAACAGGGUUCUGAUAGGACUGCCACCAUUGAUGAUCUCUGUCCUCGAGAGACUCCGGAACCACCACCUCCGUCUUCAAACCUUGGGACACCAGAGAGGCUUCCCUGUCAUCUUGUUAUCAUACUGUUCAAAAUUGCCCAAGUGUCAUCCUGGGGAGAACCACACAUCCAGACAGAAAGAAGCAGCACACACCUGAACAUGGUCUCUGUGGAGGGCCCAGCUAUGGGACAGAGGACAACCCAGAGACUGUGUUCUGAGUUCUUAUCUUGGUGUCCACACCCUCCAGAUGGUGGUAUGUGCUUUAGGGUAGGCCGAUGACAGCUGAAGAAGACUGUAUUUGCGGAGGAGCAGCAUGAGGGUAGAGAGGAGCAGAGCUCCUGAGGGAAACCUAAUAGUUCCUCUCCUUCCUGCACGGAGAUAAAGACUUAUAAUCAGCGUCUAUGUUCACCAUCUGGCUCUGCGCAUGUGGUCCGUAUGGAGGAGAAAGCCGCACAAUCUGUAAGUGAUCAGGAGCCAUGGCGCUCUCUCCAGAGAAUCCACGAUGCAAUCAAGGUGACAGAUGGCACGGCCACUGCUGUGGCCUCAUGGAGAAGAUCAAAAUCACCUUCAAUAAACUCUGACUGAAAUGGGCAUGAGCACCUCGAAAAAGUCAGUUUGUCAGUCAAACUGCGACAGCGCGCUGCACUGGGGAACCACAGCGGCCAGCUCUCUGUUUUCAAUCGUUUCCGUCUGACUGGGCCUGAACUAUGAUCCUUCUCAAAUUGUCCUUUCUGUUUAGCUGAAGCAGGCCAGCAAAUUGCCAGAUUCAUUGCUUUAUUGAAGAAAAUUGAAAACACGAUGUCCUCAAUUCCGAGGACGCACAGCUGGCAGGUACCCGGGACACCCAAACGCAGGGAGAGUGGACCUGGUUUCUGCAGCCGGAGUUUGCCCAACUUUAGGCGGAUAUUUUUGAACGCAAAUAUAAAAUGCAAAUGUGUACGGGGCAGUGGUUAUGUAAACGGUAUUAAGUAACCAGUAAGUGUUGUAGAAUGGAGACGUGGCUACAAAGAAAGGAAGAAAGGAAGAAAGGAAAGGGGGAAACUCCAGCAGGGAGUUGUCUCUGCGAGUUCAGAGCAGGUUUCUUUCUUGAUAGAGCUAGUGUGUUUUCUUUCUGUAUCUGUUUACUAUGUGGAGGUUCCUUUGGGUUUGAGCACAAGGUUGAAGAAAUGCAGAGAUACUGUUUUGUUUUGAGCAAAUCACAGGGAAUCUGCAGGGGUCAGGAAGUUUAAACAAAUUUCCGUUUCUCCUAACCCCAGAGGAAAAAAAAUUAGAAGCCCCAACCGCUUAUAAAUGGAGGGAAAUGAGGAACAGCUAACCUGCAGUGGGACUCAAAUCCACUACCAUCUUUUGAGAAGUAAGGACACUGAUUUCAGGUCAGGGAGGGCGGGUCCUGAUGAGAGCAGGCGCCCCUCUUCCUCCCUCCUGAUCCCUUGGCACAGUUCCACUGUUGUUCUUCCUCCCAAUCGCCAGGACCGGAGAUUGAAAGCAAAACUAGACUUUUCCAAUCUUCUUUCUCUAAAGUUUCCAGGAUCUGUGUCUGGUCCUGGAGUUUUCUAUUACAAGCUGGCUGAGGGAACUUACCCCUUCUAACUUUUCGUCCAUUCUCUUUUUAAAAAGUUGUAACCUUCUAGUUAAUGUUGCGGGCUUGCUUCAUUUAAGAUCCAAACCCUGCUCCUGCUUCAUCCCCCACAAUGUAAACUGUUUGACAGCUGAGAAAUACUGAGUCACCCGGCCCUGGAUUUCCAUGGGAAUUCUCUACUCUUAUUAUAGGUACAAUUUGAAUGCCAGGAUUCUGGUGCAGUGAUAUAGAAAUGCAUCUAAAGGGGACUCAUCCUUGAUUUGUGUAUGUGAAAUUCAAGAAAACACGGGGAAAAGCUCCUAUUUUGAGUGACAGGAAAGUCUUGCUCUUUGGGGGGAAGGACUGUGUUUUCACAGAGUAUAAGAGUGGAGCUAACUUACUGCAUAUCAAAGGGAAGUGUGGUUUGUUAAGAACAAAAGACCCUUUGUGUUUUCUUGUUCUUUAGUAGGUAAUACCUACUGAGUGCUGAGUACCCACUAUGUGCAGGCUUUGCAGAAUUGAGAAGAUUCCCAGGGAGAAAAUGUAGGUUUUAAAGCCCUCUUCGGGGCACAGAGCUCUCUGCCUGACCUUUCUCCCUUGACCUACCUCCUUGGGCAGUGGGGGGUGUUCUUGCAUGACAACAGGGCUGGUGUUAGGCUGGUGGCUGCCUGCUGUUUUUACACAGGAAAUGCUGUGUAUUUUUUCUGUGGUCUUUGGCUUCCUGGAAUAGCGACUGUUUAAAGACACAUUCAUCAGUGCUGCCACCAGGAGGGGUGGUAGGAUGAGUCAUCGCUCAGCAGCAGCUCCAGUUACUCAGGGAGAAAGAAAUCUUUUGCUUCCUAACGGUGGCAGUUCUGAGUCUUUCUUUAAGAGAUGGCCUACUGGACCAUGACAGUAUGGAAACAUACUUCUAAAAUGAGGUUUAGUAAUUAGAGCUUGGCCCAAACUCAGAUAUUUAUGCUCCAGUCAUCUCUAGCAUGGAAUUUCUCUUGAUCUGUGCCAGAUACACAGCCAUACACCAUUAGUGUCCUUUAACUCUAAGUCCCAAACUAAAAUCUUGCUUAGAGAAAUUUCCUUGAGACAGUUUAAAACUCAUGUUCAUGAGCAGAGAUGUCCUUAAAGUGCUGUAUGUACUUGCUAUAUCCAUCCAUCCAUCUCUGUAUCUUCUGUAGGUGAGAUUGGCAGGGAUGGGAUGUGAGGAUGUAGAGAUUGUCCUGGGAUUCACAAGGCAGCACCCAUGGAGGGCAACUCUCCAUCACAGGGCACUGGCUUUUUGAGUAGAUGCAUUAAUGACAUUUUUUAUUCAUUAAUAUUUUGUUCUCUGUGUGUGUCUGUGUGUCUCUCUCUCUCUCUCUCUCUCUCUCUCUCUCUGUGUGUGUGUGUGUGUGUGUGUGUGUGUGCAUGUGUGUACAUUGUCACAUAUGUGUUCAUGGAUACAGGCACAUACAUAUCACAAUUCAGAGAUCAACACUAAAUGUUUUCCUCAGUACCCUUUACCUUGUUUGUUUGUUUUCUUUUUUGAGACCCAACAUCUUAGUGAACCUGGAGCUUGCUACUUUAACGAGACAGGGUGAUAAGCAAGCCCCACAGGAUAUGCCCCUGUCUCUGCUUCCACAUCAUUGAGAUUAGAGCCAUGUACACUUUCACCCUGUUUUAUAAUGUGCUGAAGAACUAAAGCCAAGUUCUCAUGCUUGUCAGUCAUGCGCUUUACUUAUGAUUAUUUUGCCAGGUCCAAGAGUUUAAGAGCAGAUUCAUUGUGAAUGAAGAGAUUGCAUAGAAAUUUAAAUACAGAUAGAAAAGAAUAAGUAUGUGGUGAGAUGUUUCUUAUGAAUUGAGAGUAGUUUGGUCAUUUGUAGGUCACAGAUUUCAUUAGUUCCUAUUACUAUUUUUCUUACCACUUUAUUGCUUAAAGUUACUGCACUAAUUUUAAGAAUAUUUUCUGCUAACUUUAAUAGGUUGGGGGAUAUGUGUAUAUGUGCCACAUUUCUGUUGCUCUAACUACAUACCUUUCAAUCAAUAACAUUUGACUUCUUGGAUUCUCUGCUGGUUGUGAGGCUCCUACUUUCCACAUGGCAGACAGAAGACCAAGAGAGAUGGAGAGUUCAGUGCCACAGGCCUGUUCCCAGUAACGUAUUUCCUCUAAUAAAGUCUUAUUCCUAGGUCUUCCCAAAAUAGUACCAUCUGCUUAUGACCACGCCCCAAAUGUGAGUCUUUUUCAGGAAGACAGAUCUAAACUGUGACAAACCAAGUCCAAAAGAAUACCCAUUAAAAUAAAAUUAAAAUGUAAGCAGAUAAUGGCAUUUAUAAAUUGAUAAGCUUAUAUGCCACAAGUGUUAUGUUCUUAAAAGAUUCUCUUUUUCUUGUAUAUAAUAAUGGAGACAUAAAUACAAAUGGACAAGAGGGAGGUAUCUUGCAAAUAUAGUGUUAUUUCUACUUGUUUAACUUAUUUCAGAAUAUUAGACUGAAAAAUACCUGUGCAAAUGCCAUGUACACAAGUCUCGCUGUAUCCUCAAAACAUUAUGCAAUCAGAAAAAUUUUGAAAGGUAGACUAUUGAAGAAAAAUAAUACAGUCUAUCGUUGAAUAAAAUGAAGGCUCCAACGGAUAAGUUUGUAUCUGUACAUGCUUUUAUUCUGUUUAUAAACAUCAAAAAGAGCCCCCUUUUCUGGUAUUCUUCAUUUAAAAGGAAAGAAAAUAGAACAGAAAACUAAUUUUAGCUAAUGCCAGAGAUCCAAGUUGUAGGCUGGGCUCUAGAAGGACUGGGUGUUUACGAGUCACCUUCCCUUUUGUCAGUUGAGAUGAUGACAUGGUGGUAGAGAGAGCAUGGCCAUGAUAAAUAUACACCCCUGGACUGGAAUCCUCAUUUCUGCUCUUACUGCUAAGGAGCAGGACUUAAUCAGGCUGAAGAAUUCCUUCACAGAAUAUAGAACAUUAAUUGUUUUUCUUUUAACUGUUCUCUUUGGAAGGAGACAAGAGGUGCAUGAGACCCAGGAAGCAUGGGAAAUUACAAGGAAUUUUGUGAGAAGUGAAUAAUUACUGGGGGAGGAGAGACCCUCUGGAAGAGUUGCCUUCUUGUUGUGCAGGGAGCUCAGGAGGUGGAUGCAGCUGUCAUGAGUCCUCACUAGGAAUACAGUGAGAUUUCUGGUCCUGCAUUUACCCAUGCUUCUACAAAUAAUCCCUCAUAACUGCUUCUAUAAGUUACCCCAAUAAACUGAUUGGCUCACUAA
rnacentral:lncRNA from 1 species